GAUUUUUGAGUGUGAUAAAAGUUUGGAAGUAUUUUUCUUGUAAAUAUGAAUGUAUUUGAUAAAUGUACAUUUUUUCCAUUGUUUGUUUCAUUGGCUUUCAAAGCAAGCAUUAAUCAUCUAUGUUAAGUAUGCUUUGAAUUUCUAAUGGAAAGGGUCUUUCAGCUCUGCAAAUUUUAGUCGUUGGUUCUGUGUAUACACCUUAUUGCUAUUUGUCGGCCAUUACUGGACACCACAAAAGUUCCCCUAAAUUUUAAGGUCAUACUAGAAACUAUUUGAGACCUUAAGUGAAAAGUGAUUGUUGUACGAUGUCAAAAGUUCAAAGAGGGAAUAGCGAUAAGGUGUAUAGUUUUGUAUUAUUAGACUCAUUUGACAAACAAAAAAAAAGAGGAAAUAUCUGUAUUGAUGUAAUUAAACCAGUUCAGUAUUAAAUGUAUGUUAGAAUUUAUUUUACAUCAUUAGAUAUGCAAUACAGCAC
rnacentral:lncRNA from 1 species